rnacentral:misc_RNA from 1 species
GUGAAUCAUCAAAUUUUUGAACGCAAAUUGCACUCUCUUCGGAGAGUAUGCCUGUUUGAGGGUCAGCCUAAAAAAAUCGACAUCGUUGCUGUUUCACAGUGGCGUUCGUCGGAAAUUGGGUUAUCUUAAAUCUUGGUUUUAGCCGCUUUAGGUUUUCCUUUCGAUUUCCUUAACCUUUUUUAAGUUUUAUUUCUUUACCCGUUUAGGGUUUCG